CCUACGGGAGACAGCAGUGAGGAAUAUUGGUCAAUGGGCGGAAGCCUGAACCAGCCAAGUAGCGUGCAGGAUGACGGCCCUACGGGUUGUAAACUGCUUUUAUACGGGAAUAACGCGCCUUACGUGUAGGGCUUUGCAUGUACCGUAUGAAUAAGGACCGGCUAAUUCCGUGCCAGCAGCCGCGGUAAUACGGAGGGUCCGGGCGUUAUCCGGAUUUAUUGGGUUUAAAGGGAGCGUAGGCGGCAUGUCAGGCGUGCUGUGAAAGGUCCGGGCUCAACCCGGGCCUUGCAGCGCGAGCUGGCGGGCUGGAGUGCGGGGAAGGCAGGGGGAAUUCGUGGUGUAGCGGUGAAAUG
rnacentral:rRNA from 1 species